UACGGAGGAGGCAAGCGUUAUCCGGAAUUAUUGGGCGUAAAGCGUCCGCAGGUGGCGAUUCAAGUCUGCGGUCAAAGACUGGGGCUUAACCCUGGAAAGGCCGUGGAAACUGAAAAGCUAGAGUGCAGUAGGGGUAGAGGGAAUUCCCGGUGUAGCGGUGAAAUGCGUAGAGCUCGGGAAGAACAUCGGUGGCGAAAGCGGCAUCCUGGACCGGUAUUGACGCUGAGGCGCGAAAGCCAGGGGAGCAAACGGG
rnacentral:rRNA from 1 species